UCGGCAGAGUAGGUUGCUCUUUGCCUUGUGGUGCACUCCUGAAAAGCGCGCAACAGUUUUCCAAAAUUCAACGUUCCUCCCCCAAGCAACCCGGUCCCAGUUGCUGGAAUGAUUAAGACAAGUUAUAUUCAGACAUGAUAGCAAAGUGAAGUUUAGCAUUGGGAACACAUCUAUACAAUACAGUUCGGUCCGUUUCUUGCUACUUUUACUAAUAGCACAAGUGCUUUUCUGACGUGCGAUGCGAAAAAUUUUUAUGGUUCCAUUUUCUGUCAUAUUUAGCUUGGCUGCGUGUUUGCAUAAAAUUUGUAUUAUUUCGAAUGUGUGUUGGAAUAUUUCACCAGUAUAUACUUCAUUAAAGAGUUCCUGACGUGGAUCGUUAAAGCAGUAAAAUAAAUUUGUAUCUCUGCAGAUUUGUAUAUAUACAGACUGGUGAACAUUGGCGGGAUAAAAUGCAUCCUUAGUCAGUCGGAUUGCGACUACAUUAGUAUCAUCAGUUCCUCUACAUAAUCUAUGUAAACAAAUUUACGCUGUAUGUGACACCUAAUAUACACUAUAAUUGAUGGAAGUAAUUGAAAGUAAAUUUGUAGUCAUUAUUUCUAGACGUCUGAUAAGAUUCUAUAUGUUAAGUAAAGUGAUGGAAGCAAUUAGUAUUUACAAAUGAUAUUACAAAAGUUGAACGAUCAGCUGUGUUAGCGAUAUGCAGAUUCGCACAACUUGAAACAUCAGUUCAAAGCCUCUGAAAUCCAUACCUGAAUUACCUAAAAUGACAUGAACCACUCUCAUUUAAACGAACAACAAUGUAC